CUUCGCCCCGAGCGCGGUCGCCAUGGUAACCUUAAAGGGGCCGGGCUAACAGCGAGGUUUGCAUACGGGAAGGUUCGCGGGGGGGCCGUCUGCCACUGUCACAUCUCACUCCUCCCUGUUUGGACAAGUCCUGGUGUUUUGGAAGGGAUCCCAUCCGGAACAAGGCUCAGCCCCAUGCGUAAGACCUGUUCCGCAACAUUCUCUUUAUGGAGAAAAACAAGUGUACUGUUGUGCAGCAUGCUCCUGAUGCAAUCCUUCCCUCAGCUCUGGAGCCAGAGUUCAGAUGGCGAUGCGGUAGUUUAAUAAAGGGAACAGAGCUGGCUUUCAAAAGCAGCCUUUGUGAUGCCAACCUGAGGUUCCUCGUGUUAACCAUGUACAAUUCCUUCGCUGUGAGUCAACAGUGACUUAUCUUUGAAAGCUAAAUCCUGCUUCUCAUAAGCAUAUGUUUGUACAUAUUCAUGCGUUAAUUCUUGCGCUGUUAAAGAGGUAAGAGAAAAUAAAAGAAAACAAAACCCCAUUUCAUUUGGUCUGGUCUGAAUUACAGUCAAACUCCAGUCUUAACUGUCUAAUUAAAUAAUAAACAUUCCUGAGUAAAUAACUUGCAUUACCAUCAGCACUGUUCCCACAACUUUCAUUUCAAACAAUUUCAUGCGGUAGAGUUUCUCAUGAAGCAAUCUGUUGCCCGAGGCUGUGGCUGCUGAAGCAUGGAGGAGAGCUACCCGGCCUGCCAGCAGAACAUACCACCGCAAGCCUAAGAGAGAGUGGGGCCAGCGAGCCACCAUGAGGAGGGGUAAGGUGGGGACUGUGCUUUCACAGAACCAUACUAGCUCCUUCUGGUUACAUUUAUUAAGAACUCCAUAGAAUCAUUUUUCUGCUUCAACUUCAUCUAACCUGUAACAGAAGCUGUCCUCAAGCACCACUUCAUAAUGUCCUUUUCGGAAAGGUAUACAAGUCAGUCCUUGCUCAAACCCCAAUGGCAAGCAUCAUGGGUUAAGCAUGGCAGUGAUUUCAGUGAUGGUAACCAUCACACGCUCUUAGUGGUGAGCCGUUCAUUUUCCUACACUGGUAAAUACCAGCGGAGUCUGAGAAUGGACAAGGAGAGAUGACUCCCCAGGCCCAGGCAGGGGCUGUGAAUCAUCGUGUGCCACAGCGUGGACUUGCAGAGAGCUGCAGACAGGACUUCCUGGAUUUUAGCAGCCUGAUUGCUGUCAUUUUUAAACCAAGAAACACUGCCUGAAGUAUUAUAUUUCUAGGCUGAUUCUGGAAUAAAAUGGCAAAGGCAAGUAUCACAGGUCAAAUUCAUUCUUGGUCAGCACCCACAGGAGUCAGUAGUUAUGUCAAGCCUAGAACUGGUUUCAAACAACAGUUACUAUUUCUUCUCAAGCCAGGAGUUAAAAGGACAGACACUGUGGAUGUGUGGGAAUCCAUGGCCCAGAAUGUCCAAAGAUAUUUAAGUCCCUGUAAGUUAAGAGGAGCUGGUUACCUUGGAGAACCUGGAGUGGUAUCUCCACUCAUUUUUAUACAGUAUUGUGUGUUAGGUUUAUGUCGUUAGCCACUUCUGCUUCAGCUUCACAAGGAGGGAUUCAACAGCACUAUUUUCAUUAUUAAAACCAGCAGCCCUCUUCAAGAUCAUCACAAUUCUUUUCACCAGCUGAGUAAUAAUGCCCCCUCAUCAUUCUUAGGCAUUUCGCUCACCUCCAUUCUGCGUUAAGUCAUGUAGGAGACAUAUUCCUGGUCCCAUAAAAGACCAAUAAAUUUGUCUGUAAAAAGCAUCUGAAAUAUCCCAAGAGGGAAGAUUUGUUUGCUUUUUAACAAAGCUUCUCAGAAGUUCUUACAAAGACUAAAUUUAUUACUAUAAUUUUUAUGGUGCCAUUUAUCAACGUGGUGUUCAACAGUAAUAGAAGCUGAGAAUGGUCACUAGGAAGGGAAAAAUCAAGGCUUUGUACGCUGUUUACCACCAUGCAAUCAUACAAAUCCCAGAGAGAUACUGACCGACUCAGAAUUAUCCUACAAGCAUAAAGCGUUGCAGCGUUCACCAAGGAGGCCGAUGAGAGCAGGCUGGCACAGCAGGUUAGCCAAGGGGACGGAGGUCCAGGCCAAGGCAGCUGGGAGAGAAGGCUGCGCAUGGACCAGUAAGGAUGGCGUGGGGCACAAGGAGCAGUGUUAACGGGACAUGAAGAACAGCUUGAAGUGGCUGAGGAGUCACUGGAUCCAUCUGAAAGGAAAAAAAAAUCCAUCACUAGGCCAGAAGAAAUACCUCCAUGAACAAUUGCGCUCUGCCAGCAGGGCAGUGACUGGGGAGGUCAGGAAAGAGAAGGUUGUAUGAGCCACAGUGAGAAAUAAAAGCACAGAAAUCGUCUACCCCUGCUGUGUGCACGGAAGAAAAAAAGGUUCCCGAUAGGUUCUUCAGUGGCAGCGGAAUUAAGAAGGCCUGCGGGUAUCUGGAAUGACGCACGGUAGUUAUAACAGCAGGGAUUUCUACUGAGGAUACCAUCCCAGCUUAAUAUCAUUACCCGCCCAUGAGGUGCCACCGUCUCAACAAGCCCCUGGGACUGAAAGCAAAUGAAUCGAACAGCGCUCAGAUUGAGGCAGCCUGUGUCUGUUCCCCCUUGCCUCCCACCCCCCCGUUCGCCAUGUUAAAUGUAAAUGGUGUAAAUGAAUCAUCCUGAAUGUACAAGCAGAACCCAAAGAGGCACAGCCCAACGUGCACGCUGCUGUGCGCUGCCUUGGGGUGGGGGGAACGGGGAAUUAAAGAGCUUUAGUGAUACUGGAAGGUUUCGUCUACCAGCAGAAACUGACGGCAGUCCCAACAGCCGCAAAUUCGCAUCCAGCAGCAAUCACAGCCAGAGGACGAAAAACCUGUGAGCUCACUGCGGACCCUGGCAGUGCCAGAGGUAGAGUUCACGCUGUGUACUUUGGAUAUAUCUUCUUGUAAUUUGGUUUAAGCUUUAACAAGCGUAGCAAGUAACUGUCUCUUGCUGCACACCAUGUCCCACUGAGCCGAUACAGUGUGAUUCAUAGAAAGAUCCACAGAUCGGGAGCCAAAAGGCAGAAAAAAUCGUAUAGUGUUUAACAGGAGACUGUUUGAGAGCUCCUGGUUUCCACGCCAAGCUCUGGCGUUGACUGUCUGUAUGAACUUGACAGCUUUCGGUGGGACACUUCAGUUUACCAGCCUGCAAGGAGAGAAAAAGGGUGCUUGCACACAGCGAUGCACAACGCUGGCCAGGCGGCCUGAGCUUCUGGAUGAGUGGCAGUGUGAAUCAACCCGGUGUCAACAUCUGUAAUUUUGCCACAUGAAGGAGGAAUAAUGCAGAGCAGGGAACUGGUAUGAUCACAACCCGUGCCAUCUGACAAAUGCCACCUGAGCUUCCUGCUCUAACCCCGUCAUCACCUGUGCUGGGGGCUAAAAACCUGCCCGGACCCUGGAAGAUGGUGCACGGAUCCCAGCUUUGGUCCUGCCACACAUCAACGGGGCAGAGAGCUGUGAGAAAUGGUCCCCACUGCAGAACCAGUUUGCUUUGAGCAGCAGAUCUCAAAUCAUUUCCAUAUGUUACUUUGAAGAAGAAAACGCCUGGUAAGUCUCAAAGCAGAGUAACCAAGAGCCAAGGCAAAAAUGCCCUGAAGUGCCCAGAUCCUAAAGAUAGGCCAGCCAGGGAACCCGCUUCCAUCUGCGAGACGUGCCUGCUGCAACACAGCCCUUCAGACGCUCGGCGUGGUUCCCAGCAGGAAGGUUUCCAACACCCAUGGGGCAACGCUGGGAACAUUUUACCUCCUGAGACAAUGCUGAACAGUUCAGCGGCAUGAGGAAGGCAACGCAGCUGGGGUGGCGUGAUUAUCCGAGCUAUGUCACCUAGCUCCUGUCCGUGUUUGUUUAAGGAUGGGCUCAGGGACACUUGGAAAAAGCCGUGAUACCCUGAUUAAAUGGUGAUAAUUGUGUUCUGCCUGCUGUUCAACCACGUUUAACUUGAACUCCACGUUCUCCCUUUCUUCUGAUUUAUGGGAUUGCAUCUCGGUUAGCAAUUAACCUGCACCUCAGCAGCAGGGCAAGAAGUCCCUAAGCACCCUUCCUAGAUUAACCAGUAAAGGCAAGUCCUGAUGAUAUUUAAUGGAAACUCCCUGCCCAGGGGUCUGUGCACACAUCUGAAGGACUUCGAGGGCUCCCAGCUCCGAGUGGGGACAAGGAUAAACGCAGUGGGAAACAGAUGCAGGGCAGAGAGCCGGGAGAGAAAAAGCAGCAACUGAAACACCACAAAAAAAAAGACCCGGUGGGGAUCAGUCCUCCAGAGAGAGGGGAGGAGAUGGGAAGGGAGAGCAGCAGGUUUUUGCCUCCUGCGAUUUCUAUGCAAAUCUUCUUUCAUUUGCGUUGUUAACUUUAUACAACCUCUGGGCAGCCUCAGCAGUUCGUGAACUGCCCGAGCAGCUGCAAAUGUGAUUCUUGACUUGUAAGGUCUCUGACGCAAACCGAAUGAAAGAGCAAUGAGAUAGCGAGCAGCUACUGUUGACUUCUUUUCCAAGAAGGCAUGUGAAGUACUACCACUGUUUGUUUUGCAAUAGAAUGUAAAUGCUUCCGUUGAAAAGAAUCCUCAGUUCCCUCGCUUUUAACAUAAAAGCAGUCUGGGGAGAGCUCCCUCUCAGAGCAUCAUCUGUGACACAGUUCUGCUGCAAGCUAAAUACACACAAAAACCUUUAAAACAGUCCUUUGCUUAUGUGCUUGUCUCUGAAAGCAGGUGGCAAAGUAAACACAUCAUGGUCAGAUCCACCAUUCGUGGUCUGGACUGACAUCCAAACAAUGUCUGGACUGACAUCUAACAAACCGGCCACAGAAACGAGCGAUUUCUGAUGUAAGUCUGUGCCUCCCUCCUCCGCCUCAGACACUGCUCCCUCCCCACAAGAUAAUGGAACAUUUUUGCAGAUGGAAGGAACCCACUUUAAAAACAAUAGGUCCUUGAAAUGUCAGCUAAGGCUCGCUUGGCAUGUGCUGCGUGCCACAGCAACGCAGUAUGGCCUUUUUCACUCUUAAGCUGCACCCCUUGGAUGUGAAGCAGCACGAUGAUCAAGAGACGUGGGUCUAGUUUCCUGCUCUGCCACUGAUUUCCAGCCUCUUGUGGAAGUCACUCAGCCUCCCUUCAACUCGGCUUCCCGCAGCAGGGGGAGGAUAAAAGCUCUUUCUGAGGAUGAAUCCAGGCUCAUGCAAUGUUUGCGUGCUCCAGCAAUGUAUUUAUUAUACCAACGUUUUGUGCCAUUUCUCCUCAAAGCCCCUCCUUGUCUCCUCUAGCACGAAAGGGGACAAAGCCACCCAGAUCACGAGGCAGACAGGCAUGCCAGGAGCUUGGCCAGGUCUUGUGGUUCGCAGCUGAAGACGCCCCAAAGACUUUAAAGACCCUGGCGUGCACGAAGAUGAGCGACCCAGCCCGUACCUCUGCUACGAGCAGUGCAGCGAGCCGAUUUGUGAAAGCCUCCAGUGAGAUAAUCUGUUACCAGGGUAAGUGUGACCUCCUAAUCCUAACCAGGGAAAUGGGAUGUUCUCCAGAGUGAGGACGAGAUAAGGAGCGUUAAUCCACCUUGUGAGAAGGUGCAGAACUAGGUUGCAAGCUCUUCCCUGACCUUGGCGAGCACUUCUGCAAGGGCUGCUCACAAACGACAGCGUGGUAAAUGGCAGCGUUUUGCUCAGGGUCAGCACCUAAAACUGAAAAGGAAAAACUACCAGAAGCAAAGCUCCCAGAAAACUUUGGUGACUGGCUGUGGAGUCAGACACGACUCAGCCCUCGUCCUUCUAUCACCCUGAUUGACGUAAGUGCCAGCGGGUGACUCUCAAGGACUCAGUGCAUCUUUCCUGGUUUCUGUAACUAAACAAAGUGCAAUUAAACUUCUUUAUGCACAUGGCACACACGUCUCCUGUGUGGCCCCUUCCCACUCCCUAAACACCAGGUAAGAAUCCAUCCAGCCCGAUUUGCAGACAAGCCAGUGGGCUUGGUAACAGUCACGAAUAUGUUCUGUCCAUCGUUUUGUUGUUUCUCUGCACCCCAAUUUUUUACAUUUGGUACAAGACCCUUUGGUACAGGGUCUAGGUCUUAUGAUCAGGGUUCUUCCAAACUCAGAGUGGCCAUGAGUUUGUGUCAGGAGGGGGUUAAGCACAAGCAAAAUCUGAGCGAUGACAUGGAUGAAGGUCAGAGGAUGCGUGAUGUUUGGGUAAAGGCUUGAUGAGCAAGACCUUUCCAGUCCUUCUCUUGAAACCAUCAGAAGGUUUAUAUAAUUUCAUGACACAGGAGCCAACAAUGUCUGUUCUUGCACAUAGAUUCAAAAACUGGAUUGGUAGGUCAGCUCUAGUUCAACUGGCCUCAGCACCAGUUUGGACUGUGGGAGCUGUGACAGGACCGGGAGUUCAUCUUCAGCAGAAGGAACUCGAGUUACUGCAGCUUCAUCGCUUGCAUCAAAACCAGCUGGGCUGCAACAUCUCAAGCACCCGUCCAUCUAACUGCAGUUCGGAUAUACUAGGAGAGCUCUCGGUGUAACGCAUCUCAGCAACAGAUUCAGAUUUGUUUGAGAAUGAGAACCCAUCGCAGCUACCUGAUGAGAGAGGAGAGCUAGACCUGAGGGUCUAGCUAUGAGGAGCAGUUCCACAUCGUUCUGAUACUAUAUUCUCAAAUGUCACUUUCUAAAUGAAGCAUUCCUAGGGCUGGGAGAGACAGCAUUUGAGAGACUGUCUUAGAAAAAGACAAACAGAUCACCGCAUCUCACUGUCAUUCAACAUGUUUUAUGCAUAAACACACUGUAGGAAUAUAGACUAUGCAGUAGAGGGACAAAAAAAAAUAGGAAUCCUUAAAGAUCAUAUUACAUAAAAUUUAGAGAUUUAUAAUCAUAACAAAGAACCUGACCAGAGGAGGGGAACUUCUAAAGGAUUUAAUUGUUUUUAUCAGCCAUCAACGUGCAGCAAUUGAAGAUUGUGAACAUCAGCUAAAUGGAGCGAUCUAUUUGGAAAAGCCACUGGUGUUAUACAUAUACAGUCCAGUUCUCCACUUCCUUCACACUUUUCCACAGUAGAAGAGAACAAAACAAACAAACAAACAAAAAAAAACAGCUGUGAGUAACCGGAAGAUGUGAGGUAUAAAUUAAUUCCCACAUUCCUGUACAUAAAAUAUUAUUAGCAGGACUGCUCGGCUCUCUCUGAAGUCAGUGUUGUUGCAAUACUGAAGGCUGCUAGAGGUGCAGGUAGUCCACUGGAUAAUCCAGAAGGUAACCAAAGUGUCUUCUCCCCAUUCAGCAAGGGUCGUACAGGAGCACUGCUGUGUACCGAUGCCUGCCCAGCACGAACGGUGUGUGCAUCUGGACUCGGGGCACCAGAUGGCAGCAUUUAUUGCCUGCAGAUCCUAGAGCAGCCGGGCUGGUGGUUUAGUACUCAACAGUUCAUGCUAUUAAACCCCUAAAGAAGGCAUUGCAACCCCUUCUUCUUCCUCUGCCUCGAUCAUGAGACCAGUGGGUAAGGGUGAUAAGCAAGGGCAAAGCAAAAGAGUGUGUGUGAUCUCUCCCCACUCCUUUCACAGACCAACGAUGGUUUCUUGCUAUGAGAGGUGCUUGCUCUCAGUAGAAAAUCAUUUUUUUUUUGCCUGUUCCCUCCUGCCUGCUUUUUCCCUGGAAGGCUCUAGACCCUCAUGGUUAUCAUGAAUACCAGUGAAGGAUACUCAGCACAUUUAGCCCCUGCCAAGACCUUUUUUCUGUAGCACACUUCACGCAAAUACCUGACAUAUCGUUAGUAAGCAGGCUUUUAUCUGAUGAAGGACAGCUUGGCUGGAAUUUCAACACUGAGCCAGGGGAAAGCCUAAAAGAUAUCAAAAGGCACCUGACCCUCCUCAUGUCGAACAGCAACAUGCAGAAUGCCCUGGCUGGGAGAGGGCCUCCGAGGCACAGCACCCGGUUUCCCAGCUUCUUUACCCCAUUUCCUCCUCGAGGCUUGAAUUCCUGCACCCCGGGGUGGAGAACGCAAACCAACAGCUGUCCCACAACAUUUCCUGCAUUGAAAAACAUUCACAACUAGAUGGCCAUGCUCUGGCUUUAGAGUUAAUGACUGAGCUGAGGUUGCUACUGUCAAAAAUUACUGCACCUGACGUAGUCGCUGCAGUCACAGGAAAAGGAAAAAGGGAAGGUCGGGAAAAGGAAGGUCAGGAAAGGGAAGCCGGCUCCUGAUGUAUUCUUCCCAGCAAAUGCACGCAUCAGAGCAAGAGCUAUCUUUCCGGUGUCUGGCAUGACACGCUGCUGUCCCUGCCAGACCCCUUUCCCCAGAUGUGACAUAUCACCAGAUCCCAAGAAGGAAUUCAGCCCCUGGCCCCUAACUACUAACUCCUUCCGAAGCUGUCCUUCUUUCUGUCCUGAAAACCAGAAAUUAGCAAUUUCUUUACAUUUGAGACACCUAUUUGAUUUCUUUACCAGAAAGACUCGCAGUUUCCUCAAAUGGCACCUCAACUUCAGUUUCAUGCCUAAAGCUCAAGCCCUGAUCUGUCAGAGACCCUGAGAUCUCCGAGAGUUCCUGUGAGACGACUUCACCGACACACAGGGGAGCAGCUUGCUCUGUUUUUGUCCUGGCCUUAGAGCCACCACCACUGCUGUGCUCAAGAACACCCGUUCCAAAGGCCACCAGAGGUUUUUGCACUGCAGCAGAGGACAAGAACAGUUUGUUUCUCCCACCUCUGCUGAUUAAAUAGCCCUCGUAGGCAGCUAGCCGAAAGGAAGAUUGACCAACUUGGUUGCAUCAGUCAAGCUAGAAAAAUAAUUGUUGCCCAAGCCUCGGAUGCUUCUGUGGCUCUGCUUUAUCUAGGCUUCAUUUUAAAACCAGCUCAUGGUAGUUUUGUCUGAUUACCCAAGCAGCAAACAUCCAACCAUGGCAGUUGCUCAGAAACUGUUUUUUUGAAAUACAAGGCACUGACUCCCUUUUAAAAAAAAAAAAAAAAAACUUUUUCCUGCUCCCCAACCCUGCUUUCCCUUUGACAUCACUAUUUCAAAACCAAAGUAUGCCGAAUCCACAGGGACAGUCUCAGGCCAUUCAGAAAGAGCUUUUCUGUUUCAUUUGUAGCUUUAUUAGCGCUCCUCACCAGGCUCCUAUGAACAGAAGAUGUUUUCCCCCCAAACAUGAUGAAUUUUAAAUGGCUCCCCUGCUGACUUUGCAGGGCAGUUCUUGUGCUCUAUGGCCCAGGGACGGCCUGCUAUCAGCCUCGCCCCAAGCCAGCGCUCUUUCAAAGCUGUCUGUUUUCAUACUUCCUCCUGAAAUCAAUCAUCUUCACAGUUGCAGGUCUUAAAUUCUGAGAGGGGAAUUGUUACGGACACUCGAAGGCCCACAUGCUGCAGAGGGGGAUUAAUCAGGGCAGAUGGAUGCGUCCACAUGGAAUCUGCCUCAUUUAGAUGGUAUUGCAUGUGGGUCUUUUUCCAAAAGUCCUGCGGUGCACAUCAAGUGAUCUAGGACCAAUGACUUCAGCACUCACAUGAGGAUUACUCAUCUAAUUAGGGGGUUUGCAGGCUCUGCCCCUGCGUUCCUGUGCACUGUUAAUGUCAUUGUACUGACUUCUAGAACGUUUGUCAUUUAGAGACCGGCUCCACUUUUUUGUGUGUUUUUGCUGGUAGAUCCGACCCCACAAGGUAGCAGUGGCAUUAACCACAUGAAUAAAGCUUUCUGCAUGCACAAAUGCAGCAAGCUUAGGCUGUAAAUUCUGUAAAGAACUAAAAGACUCUUCAAAGCCCCAUUUAGCUAAGGAGGCUGCAACGUGAGGGAAAAAAAAAAAAACUCCCUGAAAGGAGGACUGUCUUGUUUUGCAGUCAGUGAGACCGAGCAUCAUCACAAGUUUUCCUCCUAUCACUUACCCCUUUCAUGCUCCAGCACCUUGUCCCUCCAGCACAGUACCUCCUUUGUCUCAUUUAUCAUGCAGAAAUGCUGCAGGGAAGAGGCCUCUGGAGCCUCUGCGAUGAGCGAGGUUGCCACCCGCAGCAGACCGGGUCAGCCACAGCUUUGACCAGCUGGGAGCCGGGAAGCUCCAGCGAUGGUGGCUCCUGCGUGCCCCCGCACCCCGCGUCUCCCAGUACCUGAUGCAAAGCCCCCAGGCAGAUGCUGGCUGCCGCUGCCCUUCCUGCACCACACGGCGCUGCCAAGACGGGGUUCGUUCACCCCUAGUGUCUAAUCACAGAAUGGUUUGGGUGGGAAGGGCCCUUACAGCCCCCCACCAGCCCAGGCUGCCCGAAGCCCCCUCCAGGGAUGGGGCACCCACAGCUUCUGCUUGAGCCAAGGCCUCACCGCCUGACACCUAACCUGACCUGACCUAACCCAGCCUAAUCGAACCCAACCCAACCCAACUCAACCCAACCCAACCCGACCUAAACCAACUGAAC